rnacentral:rRNA from 1 species
AGCGUAUAUUAAAGUUGUUGCAGUUAAAAAGCUCGUAGUUGAAUUUCGGGAUCAAUACGUAGGUCGUGCUUCGGUACGUACUGGCGUAAUUGAUUUCUCCCUUCUGACGAACCAUGAUGUCAUUAACUUGGUGUCAUGGGAAAUCAGGACUGUUACUUUGAAAAAAUUAGAGUGUUUAAAGCAGGCUCACGCUUGAAUACAUUAGCAUGGAAUAAUGAAAUAGGACGUUCGAUCCUAUUUUGUUGGUUUUUAGGAUCAACGUAAUGAUUAAUAGGGAUAGUUGGGGGCAUUAGUAUUCAAUUGUCAGAGGUGAAAUUCUUGGAUUUAUUGAAGACUAACUACUGCGAAAGCAUUUGCCAAGGAUGUUUUCAUUAAUCAAGAACGAAAGUUAGGGGAUCGAAGACGAUCAGAUACCGUCGUAGUCUUAACCAUAAACUAUGCCGACUAGGGAUCGGAUGAUGUUAAUUUUUUAAUGACUC